UAGGUGGUUGCUAGGGUGUUGCUAGGUGGUUGCUAAGGUGUUGCUAGGUGGUUGCUAAGGUGUUGCUAGGUGGUUGCUAUGGUGUUGCUAUGGUAUCCAGGGUGGUUGCUAAGGUGUUGCUAGGUGGUUGCUAAGGUGUUGCUAUGGUAUCCUGGGUGGUUGCUAAGGUGUUGCUAGGUGGUUGCUAGGCAGUCGCUAAGGUGUUGCUAUGGUAUCCUGGGUGGUUGCUAAGGAGUUUCUAGGUGGUUGCUAAGGUGUUGCUAGGUGGUUGCUAAGGUGUUGCUAGGUGGUUGCUAAGGUGUUGCAAUGGUAUCCGGGGUGGUUGCUAAGGUGUUGCUAGGUGGUUGCUAGGCGGUUGCUUAGGUGUUGCUAUGGUAUCCGGGGUGGUUGCUACGGUGUUUCUAAGUGGUUGCUAAGGUGUUGCUAGGUGGUUGCUAAGGUGUUGCUAUGGUAUCCAGGGUGGUUGCUAAGGUGUUGCUAGGUGGUUGCUAAGGUGUUGCUAUGGUAUCCAGGGUGGUUGCUAAGGUGUUGCUAGGUGGUUGCUAGGUGGUUGCUAGGGUGUUGCUAGGUGGUUGCUAAGGUGUUGCUAUGGUAUCCAGGGUGGUUGCAAAGGUGUUGCUAGGUGGUUGCUAGGCGGUUGCUAGGCGGUUGCUAAGGUGUUGCUAUGGUGUCUGUGGUGGUUGCUAAGGUGUUGCUAGG